AACGAACGCUGGCGGCAUGCCUAACACAUGCAAGUCGAACGAGACCUUCGGGUCUAGUGGCGCACGGGUGCGUAACGCGUGGGAACCUGCCCUUAGGUUCGGAAUAACUCCCCGAAAGGGGUGCUAAUACCGGAUAAUGUCUCCGGACCCAAGAUUUAUCGCCUUUGGAUGGGCCCGCGUUGGAUUAGCUUGGUGGUAGGGUAAAAGCCUACCAAGGCGACGAUUCAUAGCUGGUCUGGGAGGAUGAGCAGCCACACUGGGACUGAGACACGGCCCAGACUCCUACGGGAGGCAGCAGUGGGGAAUAUAGGACAAUGGGCGAAAGCAUGAUCCAGCAAUGCCGCGUGAGUGAUGAAGGCCUUAGGGUUGUAAAGCUCUUUUACCCGGGAUGAUAAUGACAGUACCGGGAGAAUAAGCUCCGGCUAACUCCGUG
rnacentral:rRNA from 1 species